rnacentral:rRNA from 1 species
GAUGAACGCUGCCAGAAUGCUUAACACAUGCAAGUCAACUUGAAUUUGGGUUUUUAACUUAGGUUUGGGUGGCGGACGGGUGAGUAACGCGUAAAGAACUUGCCUCACAGCUAGGGACAACAUUUGGAAACGAAUGCUAAUACCUAAUAUUAUGAUAAUAGGGCAUCCUAUAAUUAUGAAAGCUAUAAGCGCUGUGAGAGAGCUUUGCGUCCCAUUAGCUAGUUGGAGAGGUAACGGCUCACCAAGGCGAUGAUGGGUAGCCGGCCUGAGAGGGUGAUCGGCCACAAGGGGACUGAGACACGGCCCUUACUCCUACGGGAGGCAGCAGUGGGGAAUAUUGGACAAUGGACCGAGAGUCUGAUCCAGCAAUUCUGUAUGCACGAUGAAGUUUUUCGGAAUGUAAAGUGCUUUCAGUUGGGAAGAAACAAAUGACGGUACCAACAGAAGAAGUGACGGCUAAAUACGUG